rnacentral:rRNA from 1 species
UGGGGAAUAUUGCACAAUGGGCGCAAGCCUGAUGCAGCCAUGCCGCGUGUAUGAAGAAGGCCUUCGGGUUGUAAAGUACUUUCAGCGAGGAGGAAGGCGUUGUGGUUAAUAACCGCAGCGAUUGACGUUACUCGCAGAAGAAGCACCGGCUAACUCCGUGCCAGCAGCCGCGGUAAUACGGAGGGGGCAAGCGUUAAUCGGAAUUACUGGGUGUAAAGCGCACGCAGGCGGUCUGUCAAGUCGGAUGUGAAAUCCCCGGGCUCAACCUGGGAACUGCAUCCGAAACUGGCAGGCUAGAGUCUUGUAGAGGGGGGUAGAAUUCCAGGUGUAGCGGUGAAAUGCGUAGAGAUCUGGAGGAAUACCGGUGGCGAAGGCGGCCCCCUGGACAAAGACUGACGCUCAGGUGCGAAAGCGUGGGGAGCAAACA